GGGGAUUUAGCUUAGUGGCAGAGCACUUGCCUAGCAAGCACAAGGCCCUGGGUUCGGUCCCCAGCUCCG
rnacentral:tRNA from 1 species